rnacentral:rRNA from 1 species
AUUGAACGCUGGCGGCAUGCCUUACACAUGCAAGUCGAACGGUAACGGGUCCUUCGGGAUGCCGGCGAGUGGCGAACGGGUGAGUAAUAUAUCGGAACGUGCCCAGUAGUGGGGAUAACUGCUCGAAAGAGCAGCUAAUACCGCAUACGACCUGAUGGUGGAAGGGGGGGAUCGCAAGACCUCUCGCCAUUGGAACGGCCGAUAUCAGAUUAGCUAGUUGGUGGGGUAAAGGCCUACCAAGGCAACGAUCUGUAGUUGGUCUGAGAGGACGACCAGCCACACUGGGACUGAGACACGGCCCAGACUCCUACGGGAGGCAGCAGUGGGGAAUUUUGGACAAUGGGCGCAAGCCUGAUCCAGCAAUGCCGCGUGCAGGAAGAAGGCCUUCGGGUUGUAAACUGCUUUUGUCAGGGAAGAAAUCUUCUGGGCUAAUACCCCGGGAGGAUGACGGUACCUGAAGAAUAAGCACCGGCUAACUACGUGCCAGCCGCCGCCGUAA